AGAACGAACGCUGGCGGCAGGCUUAACACAUGCAAGUCGAACGCCCCGCAAGGGGAGUGGCAGACGGGUGAGUAACGCGUGGGAACAUGCCUUUCGGUUCGGAAUAGCUCCGGGAAACUGGGAUUAAUACCGGAUACGUCCUUCGGAGAAGAUUAUCGCCGAAGAUGGCCGCGUCUGAUUAGCUAGUUGGCGGUGUAAUGGACCACCAAGGCGACGAUCAGUAGCUGGUCUGAGAGGAUGAUCAGCCACAUUGGGACUGAGACACGGCCCAAACUCCUACGGGAGGCAGCAGUGGGGAAUAUUGGACAAUGGGCGCAAGCCUGAUCCAGCCAUGCCGCGUGAGUGAUGAAGGCCUUAGGGUUGUAAAGCUCUUUCGACGGGGACGAUAAUGACGGUACCCGUAGAAGAGCCCCGGCUAACUCGUGCCAGCAGCCGC
rnacentral:rRNA from 1 species